rnacentral:rRNA from 1 species
UACGGAGGGUGCAAACGUUGCUCGGAAUUAUUGGGCGUAAAGCGCACGUAGGCGGUCUGUUAAGUCGGAUGUGAAAGCCCCGGGCUCAACUCGGGAAGUGCAUCCGAAACUGGCGAGCUAGAGUACGAAAGAGGAUCGCGGAAUUCCCGGUGUAGAGGUGAAAUUCGUAGAUAUCGGGAGGAACACCGGUGGCGAAGGCGGCGAUCUGGGUCGAUACUGACGCUGAGGUGCGAAAGCGUGGGGAGCAAACAGG